UGACGGAAUGACACCACCAGGCGUGGGGUGUGCGGCUUAAUUUGACUCAACGCGGGAAAGUUUAUCAGGUCCGGAUGCUGGUUGGAUUGACAGUGUGACGGUGCUUUCAUGAUUCAGCAAAUGGUGGUGCAUGGCCGCUCCUAGUUGGUGAGGUGACUUGUCUGCCUGAUUGCGAUAACGAACGAGAUCUUUAUGGCUUAAUAGAUUGUGGCCUCGUUCAGGAGGUCUCAUUGCGGGACCUCUGAGGGACCAUUCAACUUCUUUGCUGGGCUGUGUGCGAUAUCAAGUACAAUUAAAAGAGGCGAUAGCAGGUCUGUGAUGCUCCUCGACGUUCUGGGCUGCACGCGUACAACACUGAAACAGGAAGCGCGCCAGCCUUCAAUUGAAACCUGCUCUGAGGAGAGUGGGAAAUCGUAAAACUGAGUCGUGAUGGGGACAGCCUUAUUGCAAAUCUUACGCUCGAACGAGGAAUGCCUCGUAAAGGUCGCUCAUCAGACAGCCUUGAUUAUGUCCCUGCCAUUUGUACACACCGCCCGUCGUUGCUACCGAUGAUUUGAAUGUAGAGGCGGAGAGAAACUGGCUGUAACAUCCUGUUGAGUACUAUAUUGAAUUCCACCAAUACGUCCCCGUUAGAGGAAGCAAAAGUCGUAACAAGGUUGCUGUAGGUGAACCUGCAGAAGGAUCAACGG
rnacentral:rRNA from 1 species